AUUGAACGCUGGCGGCAUGCCUUACACAUGCAAGUCGAACGGCAGCACGGGAGCAAUCCUGGUGGCGAGUGGCGAGCGGGUGAGUAAUACAUCGGAACGUGCCCUGUAGUGGGGGAUAACUAGUCGAAAGACUAGCUAAUACCGCAUACGACCUGAGGGUGAAAGUGGGGGACCGCAAGGCCUCAUGCUAUAGGAGCGGCCGAUGUCUGAUUAGCUAGUUGGUGGGGUAAAGGCCUACCAAGGCGACGAUCAGUAGCUGGUCUGAGAGGACGAUCAGCCACACUGGGACUGAGACACGGCCCAGACUCCUACGGGAGGCAGCAGUGGGGAAUUUUGGACAAUGGGGGCAACCCUGAUCCAGCAAUGUCGCGUGUGUGAAGAAGGCCUUCGGGUUGUAAAGCACUUUCAGCGGGGAGGAAGGUGUUGAGGUUAAUAACCUCAGCAAUUGACGUUACCCGCAGAAGAAGCACCGGCUAACUCCGUGCCAGCCGCCGCAGUAAAAC
rnacentral:rRNA from 1 species